rnacentral:rRNA from 1 species
UGGGGAAUUUUGGACAAUGGGGGCAACCCUGAUCCAGCAAUGCCGCGUGAGUGAAGAAGGCCUUCGGGUUGUAAAGCUCUUUUGUCAGGGAAGAAACGGUAGUAGCGAAUAACUAUUACUAAUGACGGUACCUGAAGAAUAAGCACCGGCUAACUACGUGCCAGCAGCCGCGGUAAUACGUAGGGUGCAAGCGUUAAUCGGAAUUACUGGGCGUAAAGCGUGCGCAGGCGGUUGUGUAAGUCAGAUGUGAAAUCCCCGGGCUCAACCUGGGAAUUGCAUUUGAGACUGCACGGCUAGAGUGUGUCAGAGGGGGGUAGAAUUCCACGUGUAGCAGUGAAAUGCGUAGAUAUGUGGAGGAAUACCGAUGGCGAAGGCAGCCCCCUGGGAUAACACUGACGCUCAUGCACGAAAGCGUGGGGAGCAAACAGGAUUAGAUACCCUUGUAGUCCCUGAGCGGGCUGGCAAGGCGCAU